rnacentral:rRNA from 1 species
UACGGAAGGCAGCAGUGGGGAAGUAUUGCACAAUGGGCGAAAGCCUGAUGCAGCGUAUGCCGCGUGUAUGAAGAAGGCCUUAGGGUUGUAAAGUACUUUCAUCGGGGAGGAAAAACAAAACUAAUAAUUUUAUUUCUUGACGUUACCCGAAAAAGAAGCACCGGCUAACUCCGUGCCAGCAGCCGCGGUAAUACGGAGGGUGCUAGCGUUAAUCAGAAUUACUGGGCGUAAAGAGCACGUAGGUGGUUUUUUUAAGUCAGAUGUGAAAUCCCUGGGCUUAACCUAGGAACUGCAUUUUGAAACUGAAAUACUAGAGUAUCGUAGAGGGAGGUAGAAUUCUAGGUGUAGCGGUGAAAUGCGUAGAUAUCUGGAGGAAUACCUGUGGCGAAAGCGGCCUCCUAAACGAAUACUGACACUGAGGUGCGAAAGCGUGGGGAGCAAACAGGGAUUAGAUACC